rnacentral:rRNA from 1 species
AGAGGUCCCAAGCGUUGUUCGGAUUCACUGGGCGUAAAGGGUGCGUAGGUGGUAAGGCAAGUCAGGUGUGAAAUCUCCGGGCUCAACCCGGAAAUGGCAUUCGAAACUACCUUGCUAGAGGGUUUGAGGGGGGACUGGAAUACUUGGUGUAGCAGUGAAAUGCGUAGAUAUCAAGUGGAACACCAGUGGCGAAGGCGAGUCCCUGGAAAACUCCUGACACUGAGGCACGAAAGCUAGGGGAGCAAACAGGAUUAGAUACCCUGGUAGUCCUAGCCCUAAACGGUGCUUGCUUGCUGUAAGAGGAAUCGACCCCUCUUGUGGCGGAGCUAACGCGUUAAGCAAGCCGCCUGGGAAGUACGGUCGCAAGAUUA